GAUGAACGCUGGCGGCGUGCUUAACACAUGCAAGUCGAACGAUGAAGCUCAGCUUGCUGGGUGGAUUAGUGGCGAACGGGUGAGUAGCACGUGAGUAACCUGCCCUUAACUCUGGGAUAAGCCUGGGAAACUAGGUCUAAUACCGGAUAGGAGCGCCUACCGCAUGGUGGGUGUUGGAAAGAUUUAUCGGUUUUGGAUGGACUCGCGGCCUAUCAGCUUGUUGGUGAGGUAAUGGCUCACCAAGGCGACGACGGGUAGCCGGCCUGAGAGGGUGACCGGCCACACUGGGACUGAGACACGGCCCAGACUCCUACGGGAGGCAGCAGUGGGGAAUAUUGCACAAUGGGCGAAAGCCUGAUGCAGCGACGCCGCGUGAGGGAUGACGGCCUUCGGGUUGUAAACCUCUUUCAGUAGGGAAGAAGCGAAAGUGACGGUACCUGCAGAAGAAGCACCGGCUAACUACGUG
rnacentral:rRNA from 1 species